rnacentral:sRNA from 1 species
AUAUCUCUCUGUACGGGAAGGAUGAGAAGCUUCGACUAAGGUUCGAUUCGAGCGCAGCGAGAAAGCGUUGCCGCAGGCAACGACCCGAAUGUCUCAGCGCGCAGGGAUGAGUAGAA